GCAAACUUGGUCAUUUAGAGGAAGUAAAAGUCGUAACAAGGUUUCCGUAGGUGAACCUGCGGAAGGAUCAUUAAAGAUUCUGACCUCUCUCGGUCAAACCUCUUCAGCUGUGCGCCUCGGCUGCACGCUGUUGAAUCUCCCACACCUGUGCACAAUUCGGUCGUGGCCUGCAUUACGCUGGCGACUUCCGCUUUUACAUCACACUACAGUCUCGAAUGUCACAACUAUAAAAGUAACAACUUUCAACAACGGAUCUCUUGGCUCUCGCAUCGAUGAAGAACGCAGC
rnacentral:misc_RNA from 1 species